UACGGAGGGUGCAAGCGUUGCUCGGAAUUAUUGGGCGUAAAGGGUAGGUAGGUGGUCUCGUUUGUCUGGGGUGAAAGCCUUGAGCUUAACUCAAGAAGUGCCUCAGAAACGGCGAGACUAGAGUUCUGGAGAGGGUCGUGGAAUUCCCGGUGUAGCGGUGAAAUGCGUAGAUAUCUGGAGGAAUACCGGUGGCGAAGGCGGCAUCCUGGACCAUUACUGACGCUGAGGCGCGAAAGCUAGGGGAGCAAACGGG
rnacentral:rRNA from 1 species